UUGCUCACUCCGGUAGCACAUACAUAAAACCUGUAACCAUGUAGAGAAGAUUAGCAUGACCCCGUGCCAGGAUGACAUGCCAAUUCAUGAAGCGUCCCAUAUUUUA